rnacentral:rRNA from 1 species
UAGGGAAUCUUCCGCAAUGGGCGAAAGCCUGACGGAGCAACGCCGCGUGAGUGAUGAAGGUCUUCGGAUCGUAAAACUCUGUUACUAGGGAAGAACAAAUGUGUAAGUAACUAUGCACGUCUUGACGGUACCUAAUCAGAAAGCCACGGCUAACUACGUGCCAGCAGCCGCGGUAAUACGUAGGUGGCAAGCGUUAUCCGGAAUUAUUGGGCGUAAAGCGCGCGUAGGCGGUUUUUUAAGUCUGAUGUGAAAGCCCACGGCUCAACCGUGGAGGGUCAUUGGAAACUGGAAGACUUGAGUGCAGAAGAGGAAAGUGGAAUUCCAUGUGUAGCGGUGAAAUGCGCAGAGAUAUGGAGGAACACCAGUGGCGAAGGCGACUUUCUGGUCUGUAACUGACGCUGAUGUGCGAAAGCGUGGGGAUCAAACAGG